UACAGAGGGUGCAAGCGUUGUUCGGAAUCAUUGGGCGUAAAGCGCACGUAGGCGGCUUUGCAAGUCGGGUGUGAAAGCCUGGGGCUCAACCCCAGAAGUGCAUUCGAAACUGCAGAGCUUGAGUCUUGGAGAGGGUGGUGGAAUUCCGAGUGUAGAGGUGACAUUCGUAGAUAUUCGGAGGAACACCAGUGGCGAAGGCGACCACCUGGACAAAGACUGACGCUGAGGUGCGAAAGCGUGGGGAGCAAACAGG
rnacentral:rRNA from 1 species